rnacentral:lncRNA from 10 species
GAGUUGUAUGAGCUGGUAAAAGGGGAAAGCCUCUGUGGGGAUCCCAUGGUGAGUGGGAGAAGACAGAUGUGUUAGCAGCUGUUCAGCUAGAUAAUGAGUCAGCCCCCAGUGCACAUGGGUAAUCGACAAGGCGGCUAAUCCAUUCACAGACAAUCAAGAAUUGACCAUAUGCCACAGCUGGACUAUGUGUGGAGGCAGCUCAUAAGGAAAGAGGAAGA